GGUUAAGCGACUAAGCGUACACGGUGGAUGCCCUGGCAGUCAGAGGCGAUGAAGGACGUGCUAAUCUGCGAUAAGCGUCGGUAAGGUGAUAUGAACCGUUAUAACCGGCGAUUUCCGAAUGGGGAAACCCAGUGUGAUUCGUCACACUAUCAUUAACUGAAUCCAUAGGUUAAUGAGGCGAACCGGGGGAACUGAAACAUCUAAGUACCCCGAGGAAAAGAAAUCAACCGAGAUUCCCCCAGUAGCGGCGAGCGAACGGGGAGCAGCCCAGAGCCUGAAUCAGUGUGUGUGUUAGUGGAAGCGUCUGGAAAGGCGCGCGAUACAGGGUGACAGCCCCGUACACAAAAAUGCACAUGCUGUGAGCUCGAUGAGUAGGGCGGGACACGUGGUAUCCUGUCUGAAUAUGGGGGGACCAUCCUCCAAGGCUAAAUACUCCUGACUGACCGAUAGUGAACCAGUACCGUGAGGGAAAGGCGAAAAGAACCCCGGCGAGGGGAGUGAAAAAGAACCUGAAACCGUGUACGUACAAGCAGUGGGAGCACGCUUAGGCGUGUGACUGCGUACCUUUUGUAUAAUGGGUCAGCGACUUAUAUUCUGUAGCAAGGUUAACCGAAUAGGGGAGCCGAAGGGAAACCGAGUCUUAACUGGGCGUUAAGUUGCAGGGUAUAGACCCGAAACCCGGUGAUCUAGCCAUGGGCAGGUUGAAGGUUGGGUAACACUAACUGGAGGACCGAACCGACUAAUGUUGAAAAAUUAGCGGAUGACUUGUGGCUGGGGGUGAAAGGCCAAUCAAACCGGGAGAUAGCUGGUUCUCCCCGAAAGCUAUUUAGGUAGCGCCUCGUGAAUUCAUCUCCGGGGGUAGAGCACUGUUUCGGCAAGGGGGUCAUCCCGACUUACCAACCCGAUGCAAACUGCGAAUACCGGAGAAUGUUAUCACGGGAGACACACGGCGGGUGCUAACGUCCGUCGUGAAGAGGGAAACAACCCAGACCGCCAGCUAAGGUCCCAAAGUCAUGGUUAAGUGGGAAACGAUGUGGGAAGGCCCAGACAGCCAGGGAUGUUGGCUUAGAAGCAGCCAUCAUUUAAAGAAAGCGUAAUAGCUCACUGGUCGAGUCGGCCUGCGCGGAAGAUGUAACGGGGCUAAACCAUGCACCGAAGCUGCGGCAGCGACGCUGAUGCGUUGUUGGGUAGGGGAGCGUUCUGUAAGCCUGCGAAGGUGUACUGUGAGGUAUGCUGGAGGUAUCAGAAGUGCGAAUGCUGACAUAAGUAACGAUAAAGCGGGUGAAAAGCCCGCUCGCCGGAAGACCAAGGGUUCCUGUCCAACGUUAAUCGGGGCAGGGUGAGUCGACCCCUAAGGCGAGGCCGAAAGGCGUAGUCGAUGGGAAACAGGUUAAUAUUCCUGUACUUGGUGUUACUGCGAAGGGGGGACGGAGAAGGCUAUGUUGGCCGGGCGACGGUUGUCCCGGUUUAAGCGUGUAGGCUGGUUUUCCAGGCAAAUCCGGAAAAUCAAGGCUGAGGCGUGAUGACGAGGCACUACGGUGCUGAAGCAACAAAUGCCCUGCUUCCAGGAAAAGCCUCUAAGCAUCAGGUAACAUCAAAUCGUACCCCAAACCGACACAGGUGGUCAGGUAGAGAAUACCAAGGCGCUUGAGAGAACUCGGGUGAAGGAACUAGGCAAAAUGGUGCCGUAACUUCGGGAGAAGGCACGCUGAUAUGUAGGUGAAGUCCCUCGCGGAUGGAGCUGAAAUCAGUCGAAGAUACCAGCUGGCUGCAACUGUUUAUUAAAAACACAGCACUGUGCAAACACGAAAGUGGACGUAUACGGUGUGACGCCUGCCCGGUGCCGGAAGGUUAAUUGAUGGGGUCAGCGCAAGCGAAGCUCUUGAUCGAAGCCCCGGUAAACGGCGGCCGUAACUAUAACGGUCCUAAGGUAGCGAAAUUCCUUGUCGGGUAAGUUCCGACCUGCACGAAUGGCGUAAUGAUGGCCAGGCUGUCUCCACCCGAGACUCAGUGAAAUUGAACUCGCUGUGAAGAUGCAGUGUACCCGCGGCAAGACGGAAAGACCCCGUGAACCUUUACUAUAGCUUGACACUGAACAUUGAGCCUUGAUGUGUAGGAUAGGUGGGAGGCUUUGAAGUGUGGACGCCAGUCUGCAUGGAGCCGACCUUGAAAUACCACCCUUUAAUGUUUGAUGUUCUAACGUUGACCCGUAAUCCGGGUUGCGGACAGUGUCUGGUGGGUAGUUUGACUGGGGCGGUCUCCUCCUAAAGAGUAACGGAGGAGCACGAAGGUUGGCUAAUCCUGGUCGGACAUCAGGAGGUUAGUGCAAUGGCAUAAGCCAGCUUGACUGCGAGCGUGACGGCGCGAGCAGGUGCGAAAGCAGGUCAUAGUGAUCCGGUGGUUCUGAAUGGAAGGGCCAUCGCUCAACGGAUAAAAGGUACUCCGGGGAUAACAGGCUGAUACCGCCCAAGAGUUCAUAUCGACGGCGGUGUUUGGCACCUCGAUGUCGGCUCAUCACAUCCUGGGGCUGAAGUAGGUCCCAAGGGUAUGGCUGUUCGCCAUUUAAAGUGGUACGCGAGCUGGGUUUAGAACGUCGUGAGACAGUUCGGUCCCUAUCUGCCGUGGGCGCUGGAGAACUGAGGGGGGCUGCUCCUAGUACGAGAGGACCGGAGUGGACGCAUCACUGGUGUUCGGGUUGUCAUGCCAAUGGCACUGCCCGGUAGCUAAAUGCGGAAGAGAUAAGUGCUGAAAGCAUCUAAGCACGAAACUUGCCCCGAGAUGAGUUCUCCCUGACUCCUUGAGAGUCCUGAAGGAACGUUGAAGACGACGACGUUGAUAGGCCGGGUGUGUAAGCGCAGCGAUGCGUUGAGCUAACCGGUACUAAUGAACCGUGAGGCUUAACCUU
rnacentral:rRNA from 1 species